CCUACGGGAGGCAGCAGUGGGGAAUAUUGCACAAUGGGGGAAACCCUGAUGCAGCGACGCCGCGUGAGUGAAGAAGUAUUUCGGUAUGUAAAGCUCUAUCAGCAGGAACGAGACAAGACGGUACCUGACUAAGAAGCCCCGGCUAACUACGUGCCAGCAGCCGCGGUAAUACGUAGGGGGCAAGCGUUAUCCGGAAUCACUGGGUGUAAAGGGAGCGUAGACGGCUGUGCAAGCCUGAAGUGAAAGGCGGGGGCCCAACCCCUGGACUGCUUUGGGAACUGUACGGCUGGAGUGCAGGAGAGGUAAGUGGAAUUCCUAGUGUAGCGGUGAAAUGCGUAGAUAUCAGGAGGAACACCGGUGGCGAAGGCGGCCUGCUGGACUGCGACUGACGUUGAGGCCCGAAAGCGUGGGGAGCAAACAGGAUUAGAUACCCGAGUAGUC
rnacentral:rRNA from 1 species